GCUACUAUACUUUUAUGAGUAUUGAUUCCUUUAUACUCAUAAGUUUUCGGCCCUAAGAUUUAUUCUAUUGAUCAUUCCAUCCGUUACAUCAUACUAUUCAACCAACUAACCACUUAACCCUAGAGGACUAGUAUCAUUCUAAGUGGGGACCACCAUCAUCCUAACCACACAUCCCAUCAAUCAACAGUUAAAAAUUUAUAAAUAAAAGGGGGUCUAUACUCAUAAAAAUAUAAUAACCCAAGCCUUGGAUCUAAGAUUAGA
rnacentral:lncRNA from 1 species